rnacentral:rRNA from 1 species
CCUACGGGUGGCAGCAGUGGGGAAUUUUGCGCAAUGCUCGUAAGAGUGACGCAGCGACGCCGCGUGAAUGACGAAGGCCUUCGGGUCGUAAACUUCUUUCGUCAGGGACGAAAAUGCCUAUAAUUAACUGUGUAUGUAUUGCCGGUACCUGUAUAAGCAGCGCCGCCUAACUCCGUGCCAGCAGCCGCGGUAAUACGUAGGUGGCGAGCGUUGUUCGGAGUGACUGGGCGUAAAGAGCACGUAGGCGGUGGUGUAAGUCAUUAGUCAAAGACUAGAGCUCAACUUUAGGAAGGCUAGUGAUACUAUAAUACUAGAGUAUCAGAGAGGAUAGCAGAAUUCCUGGUGUAGCGGUGAAAUGCGUAGAUAUCAGGAGGAAUACCGGUAGCGAAGGCGGCAAUCUGGCUGGAAACUGACGCUGAGGUGCGAAAGCGUGGGGAGCAAACAGGAUUAGAUACCCGAGUAGUC